GGAUGAUUCCCCCCCCCAUCUUGACCGCCCCUGCCUUCGCCGCUAAGCACGGACUCCGUCGCUCCUGCCGACCCGGUAUCAGUGGUUGGAUCCAAGGGAAUUCCGGAACCCAAACCGUCCAUUACCGCGGCUCCGGGUGAAACAGUUGUUCAAAAGAAUGAAGCACUUCUGGGACUUCCCCAGUGGCGCAGUGGGUAAGAAUCCUGCCAAUUCAGGGGACAUGGGUUUGAUCCCUGGUCCAGGAAGAUCCCACAUGCUGUGGAGCAACUAAGCCCGUGUGCCACAACUACUGAGCUUGCGCUCUAGAGCCCGCGUGACACAACUACUGAAGCCCGCGUGCCACAACUACUGAAGCCCGCGUGCCUAUAGCCUGUGCUCCACAACAAGAGAAGCCACCACAAGGAGAAGCCCGCACACCGCAACAAAGAGUAGCCCCCGGUCGCCACAACUAGAGAAAGGGUGCACACAGCAACGAAGACCCAACCCAGCCAAAAUAGGUAAAUAAAAUUAAAAAAAAAUAGAA